CGGCGGUGGCGGUGGCGGCGGCGGCGGCCAGGUUAGGCGAGGCGGAGCGGAGGCGGCCAGUGUGCGCCGGCCGGCGGCGGGUAGAAGUGUGAGUGCGGCGCGGUACUGGAGGCAGCCGGGCCGGUGGGGCCGCCGCCGCCGCCAUGCAGGAAAUCAUCGCCAGCGUGGACCACAUCAAGUUCGACUUGGAGAUCGCGGUGGAGCAGCAGCUCGGGGCGCAGCCGCUGCCCUUCCCCGGCAUGGACAAGUCCGGGGCUGCUGUCUGUGAAUUCUUUUUGAAAGCUGCCUGUGGCAAAGGGGGCAUGUGCCCAUUUCGCCACAUUAGUGGUGAGAAGACGGUGGUGUGCAAGCACUGGCUACGGGGGCUGUGCAAGAAGGGGGACCAGUGCGAGUUCCUCCAUGAGUAUGACAUGACCAAGAUGCCUGAGUGCUACUUCUACUCAAAGUUCGGGGAGUGCAGCAACAAGGAGUGCCCCUUCCUGCACAUCGACCCCGAGUCCAAGAUCAAGGACUGCCCUUGGUACGAUCGUGGCUUCUGCAAGCACGGUCCCCUGUGCAGGCACCGGCACACGCGGAGAGUCAUCUGUGUGAAUUACCUCGUGGGAUUCUGCCCGGAGGGGCCCUCGUGUAAAUUCAUGCACCCUCGAUUUGAACUGCCAAUGGGAACCACCGAGCAGCCUCCACUGCCCCAGCAGACGCAGCCUCCGACAAAGCAAAGUAACAAUCCGCCAUUACAAAGGUCGUCCUCCUUGAUCCAGUUAACGAGUCAGAACUCUUCUCCCAAUCAGCAGAGAGCCCCGCAGGUCAUCGGGGUCAUGCAGAGUCAAAACAGCAGUGCAGGCAACCGGGGACCCCGCCCGUUGGAGCAGGUCACCUGUUACAAGGACUCUUCAGCAGGGCUUCUGUGAAGCAAACUCUCCUAAGUCCUGGAACCUCAGAAAGCUGGGGUGAGGAUCUGCCAACCUCUUCUUACCAGGGGCACUUUACAGUUAAUAUUAAAGAUGCCUUGUGGGAAUCCUGGACUCCUCAGCUGUGGAGGCUGAAGGACAUGCCAAGUGCCAUGAAUGGGCCCACACAGUCCCUCCCUCUGGUCAUCACAUCAACCAAAGGACUAACUGGCAGCUCCACAGGCCACUUGUCCACACAGGUCACAUGUACAGUGUGGUGAAAAAGGACACUAUGCCAACAGAUGCACCAAAGGGCACUUGGCCUUUCUCAGUGGACAGUGACAACAGCUGGAGACAGCUCAGGACAGCCCAAAGGGCCCCACUUUGGGCCACUCUGGCCCAUCCUUGGGAUUGUGCAUUUAACUGUUCAAUGCCAGUGUUAGUGCAACUCUGGCUGGAGCUGGUAGGCAAGCACACUGGCAUUUAUCAGUCUGAGGGACAUCAUCUGUCAGUUUCCCUACCAUUUUGCUGUAGUCUCUCUUAAAAAGGGAACAUGUGCUCCAGUUCUGUCCCUCAAAUCAGCAUCAUGUGUCUAGGCAUCAACAUCAGUCUGGGACUUCCCGAACACUGCCCUCUGGAGAGAGGAGGAAGUUUUGGGUAAGAGCUUAUGCAAGCAGUUCUGUAUGAAAGACGGCCCUUCCCCUUGGGCCUCAUUAAACACCAGUUCUUGGUGAACCUAGGGACUGGUGGGUCCUUAAAACAGGCUAGGUCAUGCCUGCGUCCUCCAUGUCCUGCUGAAUUCAGAAACUGUGCCUAUCAAUGUGAUUUGAACGAGGCAGCCCUUCAGGGCAAACUCAAGUGGGCUUGUUGCCUCAGCCUGGUCCUGUUCCAAGUGGUAGUGAUCGAGGAGGGGUGCAGGGCUCUCACGUGUGAGGGUCUUUUUCCCCUAGGCUUAUUUUCUUGGGGCACAUGCUUAACCUUAACAGUGUUUAAGGUAUACCUGAAGCUGAGCUACAGGCCGCCCUGUAAAAAGAUGACGUGAUCCACCUGUGCACCUACCUCCUGCCCCAUCAAGCAUCUGUACUGUCACUCAGACACCUUUUGGCCUAUGGAGACCACCUUAAGCCUGGAAAUGUGAAACCAUCACCUGGAACUUGCUGGGCAAGGGGACCUAUCCAAGUUCAAUUAUAAGAACACUUUUUAUGAGGUUGAUUAAAGCUUGUUUUUUAA